rnacentral:tmRNA from 1 species
GGGGUCGACUGGUUUUGACAGCGAGUGGAACUAAAUUGUAAGCACGUCGAGAACUGAGUCAAUUCUCGUUAAUAAAUGGACUCAAAACUUUUAUACGGCGAAGGAAACUACGCUCUUGCUGCAUAAUCUGAAUUAUAGUAAGAUUAGCCACGCUCCUACAAGGUAGGAAAGCAGGAUUUACCUCAAAAGCUUUGGUUUAUAGCGUUUGGCCAAGGUAAAUCGUAAAUAUAAACCUAGAAAUGGUAAAGCUUUAAAUCCAUUUUGACACUGAUAAAGCUAAGCGUUUGGUGGUUGUUUCUGUCCUAGCCCAACGUCGAAAACCUAAACAGGAAAUAAGCGUGUAGAAAGCCAUUUGGUUGCUUGUUUGGACCCGAGUUCGAUUCUCGGCGACUCCACAA